rnacentral:tRNA from 1 species
GCUCGGGUGGUGGAAUGGUAGACACAAGGGACUUAAAAUCCCUUGGGAGCAAUCCCGUGCGGGUUCGAGUCCCGCCUCGAGCA